AUCGCUUCUCGGCCUAAUGGCUAAGAUCAAGUGUAGUAUCUGUUCUUAUCAGUUUAAUAUCUGGUACGCCGGCACAGUCCGGCUCAUAUAUUAAUCUGAUUUUUGGCAUUAGGUCAUGGGAUCAUAGGUUUACCUUGCCCUGACCACGGGUUGCCUCGGCUUUGCACUACUGCUGAGCGCGGCCCAGAAUGA